rnacentral:rRNA from 1 species
CAGUAUUUUGACUGUACUAAGGUAGCAUAGUAAUUUGUUAUUUAAUUGGUAACUGGAAUGAAGGAUUUAACAAAUAAGAGUUAUUUUUAAUAGAAUAAAGGAAUUUGAAUUUUUAAGUAAGAAUGCUUAAAUUAAUUAAAGGGACGAUAAGACCCUAAAAACUUUAUUUUAUUAUAACGUGUAAGGUGGUUAUUAUGAAUCUAAUAUAUAAUAAUUUUUAGUUGGGGUAACGGGUUUGUAAAUUAAAUUUUAUUUUAACUUGAUUAUAAGGUUUUAUGGUCCUUUAUAUAAGGAAAAAUAGUGUAAGUUACUUUAGGGAUAACAGCAUAAUAAAUUUGAAGAGUUCUUAUCGAUAAAUUUGUUUGUGACCUCGAUGUUGAAUUGAAAUUUCUUUAUGUAGCAGCAGAUAUAUAAGAGGGUUUGUUCAACCUUUAAAUUUUCACAUGAUCUGAGUUCAACCGGA